rnacentral:sRNA from 1 species
UCCUAGCCCUGAAGGUAGCGGCAUCCUAUUUUGAGAGCCUUUUUGGCGAACAAAAAAGAUACAGCGGAUAGCAGGAAAUUGC